rnacentral:lncRNA from 1 species
CUCGCCAGACUCGAACUUGCCCGUGCAGCUCCUCACCAUCCGUGUGGCCAGCACCAACCCUGCUGUGCAGGCCUUUGACAUCUGAGGGGCCCAGCAGCUCUCCUCCCUGCAGGCUGAACUCCACUGAGUACGGGGAGCUCUGCGAGAAGCUCCGGGCACCCAUCCGCAGGGCAGCCCAUGUGGUCAUCCACCAGAGCCUGGGCGACCUGUUCCUGGAGACAUUUGCCUCCCUGGUAGAGGUCAACCCGGCCUACUCAGUGCCCAGCAGCCAGGAGCUGGAGGCCUGCAUAGGCUGCAUGCAGACACGUGCCAGCGUGAAGCUGGUGAAGACCUGCCAGGAGGCAGCCACAGGCGAGUGCCAGCAGUGUUACUGCCGCCCCAUGUGGUGCCUCACCUGCAUGGGCAAGUGGUUCGCCAGCCGCCAGGACCCCCUGCGCCCUGACACCUGGCUGGCCAGCCGCGUGCCCUGCCCCACCUGCCGCGCACGCUUCUGCAUCCUGGAUGUGUGCACCGUGCGCUGAGUGGGCUGGGGCCUUGAGGUGACUCUGUGUCUCCCCCCAAAGCCACAGGGCAGGGAAGGGGGUGGCUGGGCCUCCUGGCUGGCAAAGGGCUCUACUUAAAGCACAUGAUGUAGAGCAACUCGCCUCUGCCCUGGGUCUGCAGAAGGCUGAGGACUUUUGGUUAAAAGCAAUCCUCAUGAAAACACCCCACCCUGCUUGGCAGCCAGGGUACAAGUCCUGGGCACCUCCUCUUUGCCUCCCUCCUGCCCCUUUCCUGCUGGUGGGGGCAGAUCCUGCACACACAGACACAGCGUCUGCCCCCGAGCCAUUCCCUGGAGACCCUGGGUCUACCCCAGGUGGUCGUCAUCUGGGCCAUUUGCCUUACUUCUCUGGAGCAUACCCACCCUCAGUUACGUGCCAGACCUGGACCGCAUUCUCCUGCCCUGUCCUGGAGCUGGCCCCUGGCUGCCUGGAGGACCCUGGGUAGGUCCUGAGGGUGGGAUGGAGAAGAGGGCACUGCUGUGGUGUGGGAGCAGUCCUGGGGCUUCCUGGUGGCUGUGACCAGUUGAGGGGCUGUUCCUGGGUGGGGUGGCAAUGGGA